rnacentral:rRNA from 1 species
GAGAGUUUGAUCCUGGCUCAGAUUGAACGCUGGCGGCAGGCCUAACACAUGCAAGUCGAGCGGUAGAGAGAAGCUUGCUUCUCUUGAGAGCGGCGGACGGGUGAGUAAUGCCUAGGAAUCUGCCUGGUAGUGGGGGAUAACGUUCGGAAACGGACGCUAAUACCGCAUACGUCCUACGGGAGAAAGCAGGGGACCUUCGGGCCUUGCGCUAUCAGAUGAGCCUAGGUCGGAUUAGCUAGUUGGUGGGGUAAUGGCUCACCAAGGCGACGAUCCGUAACUGGUCUGAGAGGAUGAUCAGUCACACUGGAACUGAGACACGGUCCAGACUCCUACGGGAGGCAGCAGUGGGGAAUAUUGGACAAUGGGCGAAAGCCUGAUCCAGCCAUGCCGCGUGUGUGAAGAAGGUCUUCGGAUUGUAAAGCACUUUAAGUUGGGAGGAAGGGCAGUAAAUUAAUACUUUACUGUUUUGACGUUACCGACAGAAUAAGCACCGGCUAACUCUGUGCCAGCAGCCGCGGUAAUACAGAGGGUGCAAGCGUUAAUCGGAAUUACUGGGCGUAAAGCGCGCGUAGGUGGUUAGUUAAGUUGGAUGUGAAAUCCCCGGGCUCAACCUGGGAACUGCAUUCAAAACUGACUGACUAGAGUAUGGUAGAGGGUGGUGGAAUUUCCUGUGUAGCGGUGAAAUGCGUAGAUAUAGGAAGGAACACCAGUGGCGAAGGCGACCACCUGGACUGAUACUGACACUGAGGUGCGAAAGCGUGGGGAGCAAACAGGAUUAGAUACCCUGGUAGUCCACGCCGUAAACGAUGUCAACUAGCCGUUGGGAGCCUUGAGCUCUUAGUGGCGCAGCUAACGCAUUAAGUUGACCGCCUGGGGAGUACNGCCGCAAGGNUUAAACUCAAAUGAAUUGACGGGGGCCCGCACANCGGUGGAGCAUGUGGUUUAAUUCGAANCACCGCGAAGAACCUUACCAGGCCUNGACAUCCAAUGAGCUUUCUA